rnacentral:rRNA from 1 species
GACAGAGGUGGCGAGCGUUGUUCGGAAUUACUGGGCUUAAAGGGCGAGUAGGCGGUGAGGCAAGUCUGAGGUGGAAUCCUAUGGCUUAACCAUAGAAUUGCCUCAGAAACUGUUUUACUUGAGUCAGUGAGGGGAGGGCGGAAUUCCUGGUGUAGCGGUGAAAUGCGUAGAUAUCAGGAGGAAGGCCUGUGGCGAAGGCGGCCCUCUGGCACUGAACUGACGCUGAGGCGCGAAAGCGUGGGUAGCAAAC